UCCAAUUAUUAUUCAUUCAUUCUCAUUACAAAACAAUACUCUGUGAGUGAGUAAGUGAAUAGAUAGUGAAGAAUAAUAAUGGAUGUUUCUAGUGACAUGUUUCCCAUCGGAAUGCGUAUUCUUGCAGUAGAAUAUGAUCCCACUUGCCUUCAAGUUUUAGAAACUCUUCUCCAAACAUAUCAAUACCAUGUAACCACGACUAAUCAAGCAACAACGGCAUUGGCUAUGUUGCAAGAAAACCAAGACAACUUUGACCUGCUAAUCAUUGAUGUGAACAUACCAGACAUGGAUGCAUUUAAGUUUCUAGAACUUGUAGGACUUGAGAUGGACCUUCCUGUCAUAAUGUUGUCUGCAUGCGGUGAUACAAAUCUGCUGAUGAAGGGAAUUUCCCACGGUGCAUGUGAUUAUCUGCUGAAACCUGUGAGAUUAGAGGAGCUAAGGAACAUUUGGCAGCAUGUAGUUAGGAGGAACAAGGCCGGAGUUGUUUGGUCUGUCGAGUUGCACCGCAAGUUUGUCGCUGCUGUUAAUCACCUAGGCAUUGACAAGGCUGUACCCAAAAAAGUUCUGGAUACCAUGAAUGUCGAAAAUAUUACAAGGGAGAACGUGGCUAGCCAUCUCCAGAAGUAUAGACCUUAUUUGAAAAGAAUUAGCUGUGUUGCAAACCAACAAGCUAGUCAAGCUGGAUUUGCAGAGUUAACUGAAUGAUCGUCAUCAAGACAACCUCGCGUGAAUAUAGUAAGCCAGCAGCAGUUUUGUAAUAAUCUAGAUGACUCUGUAGGAUGUGGAGGAUGGAAAGCUUGGUUGAAACUACUAUGUUGGUAAUGAGGCUGCUUUGUUGGUAAUGAGGUUGUGGUGCAUGUACUUGGUUUCCUUAUUUAUUUUAAUUUUUGACUUUUGGUAGGGUUGUAGUAUGUAUAUCAGACAUGUUUCUUGUAAUAUUAUGGUAAGUGUCAUCUGUGGUGUCAUUUGUCUAAACAACUAACAUUAUUUUGUUUCACAUUGUAUUUUGGCUAGGGUGGCAAAACGGAUUCGGCCCGUCGGGUAUGUUCGUUUUGUCCGUGUUUUUUUAUGGAACGGGACAAAAUUUUAGACCCA